GGUGAUGGGAAGGAAGUGUGACAGUGAGCUCAAGUGGUGCGCAGCAGACAGAAUGAAAUGCGUUGAAUUCUCUGGCAUCGUAAACACAGGUCUUAAAGACAUCGCUAUUGAAAUGAAGAAAUGCAUACGAGCAGACCUUUGUAAAGAGACGAUAACUUACAUGGGUUUUCCAAUUGCUAACGGGAGUAAAAAUUGCAGAUCAGCCAUCAGGAAUGGGGCAUGGGUCAGACCCCCAACUCCCAUCUUCUUUGUUUUAUCUCUGGAGAAGCUGCUUCAUUGAGCUACAAGGGCCCAGCCAUCACCCUUUCUGAAUUAAACGUACCUUUUGGGGGGCUUA